CGACUUUUCCCCUUCGAAAAAUGCAUCGUCUGAAAGCUUGAGACCAGAGUCUACUUCUCGCUGUAAGGCGCGGAUUGCAGAGACGAGAGAGAGAGAGGGAGGAGGUGGAGAUGGGGGAUUCAAAGGUGGAGACAAUCUCGAGACUAGCUCAGUGGAGGAUCGACAACUUUGGACCCUGUUCCUUCAAAAAGUCCGAUCCAUUCAAGGUCGGAAUCUGGAACUGGUACAACUUUCUGUGACUCAGCUCUCUGUGUGAUCACUUAUGGUUUAUUUUGAUAGUUGUAUGUGUUGUUUUGGUUUUCGAAACGAUGGGUUUGUGUUGGUUUCUGGGUUGGAUUGAGUUUGAUUUGUCUCUGUCCUGAUUGGAAUCUCAGGCACUUAUCUAUUGAGAAGAAUAGGUAUAUGUAUAUUCGUCUAUUUCCGGAGCCCUCCAGAGCUUCAAAAGAACAGCCUCCUAUAGCUAGAUUUGUUCUCCGCGUCUCCAAUUCCGCCGCCUCCAGGAGGCCGUACAUCUCCCCUAGUAUGCACUUCCGUUACUAUUGAUUCUUCUCUCUUCUAUGUAUAUAGUUUCUUGACGAUGAUAAACUUCUAUUGUGCUUAUUUAUUAAAUCGUGGGUUGCGUGGAUUUUUUCCUUUACUGGCAAUUGGAAUUUUCUUGAAUGGUUUGGGAUUUUGGUGCUGAAAUUUAAAUUAUGUUUGAUUCUAUCUUAAAGUUCACUGAACAAAAUACUGGGAUUUGUGUGGGCAAAACUGAAUCAAAAGACAGAGAUGAUAAUAAUUAAUAAGCCACAGGGGAUGGAAGACCAGACGAAGGGGAGUAUGAUCUACUUAGAUUAACAAAUCCAUGUGUUAAAGCAGUGUGCAACUUCUCCCCAAAGAAAUAAGUAUUGCAAAAUUACAUUGAUUCUCAACUAAGAGUAAAAGCAAGGAUAGGGAACAAGACUGAUUCCUUAAUCAGAAUAUUAAAAACAACCAAAUGUAAGAAUCACUGUCCUUCACAUUAAAAAAAAAAGACGGUAUCACAAGUCCACAUACUUGGCAAGUUUUCGUGAUCGCCUUGUAUGUUCUGGGAAGAUUAAUGUUACAAUUGGAAUUUUGUUGCUUUUAAGAUAUAUUUGUACAAGUAUGACUGUAUUAGAACAAAGGGAAAUAAGAUCAGGUGUGAUAUGUGCUGGACUUUUUACGAAAACAGUUGGAAUAUGUGCUUGAUUUACGCAUUUGGAAAGAGUGGAAUAGAAGAUGUUUGAGGAUGAGGAAAGUCUGAAGGUAAUGGUGAAAAAUACCUCUAUCGGUACUUUGUUGGUCUGGCAUCUCUUUGGAUUCUGAUGCUGGUUUCUUUGGUAAGGAGUUGCUGUUUCUUUUGCUUCCUGCUCUUGUCAGCCUUUAGCAUGCUGGUAAAUGCAUCUUGUAUACUUGAGUUGUAUCCACAUUUUUCUAGAUGCUUUUGGAUAAAUUUUUAUUUGGCUACUAAAAUAAUGUGCUUGACUUGUUAGCAUUCACGAACACAAAAUUAUGAAACCCUUGUUCUUAUCUACUUGGCAGAAUCAUGCAAAAAACUUUAUCCCAUCAUUUUGCAGAUUAUUGAUAAUUAUUUUCUGAAUUUACAUGCUUCAUUAAUUUUCUAUUGCUUCAUGCUGCAGUUCAUGAGAGACUGCUUCGGACCAGUGAUGACUUUGUCUGGCCUGUUGAUUCCACCUUUCAUGGCCGCUUCGUCAUUGAUGUCGAGUUUCUGGACUUGAAGAUAUGCCCAUUGAAUGUGAGUUCCUUUGUACUCUCCCGCAGCCAAGAACCUCUUUUUAACAUUAAAAUGUUGUGAUUAACAAAUGCAAAUUGAAUGAUGUUUCCUUUAAUUUUCCCUCUUCUUUAACCCAUUUAAAGGAAUAAACUUAAUAGGAAGGUGCUUCCUCUGAAAUAUAUAGUAGAGAAGGUCACAUAUCACUGAAGUCCAAGUGGCUUUGUGCUAAAACUCAGGGUGGGGAAGCCAGCUCAAUAUGGCCCAGUGAUGGAGUGAUGCAAUCUCUAGCAGCUCAAAGCACUCUUCGGUGCCUCUCUCGCAUGCUUAAUGAGGCAAUCCAUGCCGAUGUCACCAUUAACACUGCUGAUGGCACUCUAAGAGCUCACAAGGCAAUUUUAUCAGCAAGUUCCCCUGUGUUCCAAAGCAUGUUCCUUCACAACCUCAAGGAGAAGUCGUCCUCUACAAUCGACAUAGAAGACUUGUCUCUGGAAUCUUGCAUGGCUCUACUUAGUUACUUGUAUGGCAACAUAAAACAAGAGGAUUUCUGGAAGCACCGGCUGGCACUGCUGGGAGCGGCAAACAAGUAUGACAUUACAGACCUAAAAGAUGCCUGUGAGGAAAGCCUAUUGGAAGACAUCAACUCCGGAAAUGUCUUGGAGAGGCUGCAGGAAGCAUGGCUUUACCAGCUUAACAAGCUCAAAAAAGGAUGCUUGAUGUACUUACUCGAUUUUGGUAAGAUAUAUGAUGUUAGAGAGGAAAUGAAUAACUUCUUCAGGCAGGCUGACAGGGAACUGAUGCUGGAGAUGUUUCAGGAGGUGCUUACAGUUUGGAAACCAGCUUAAAAAUUGUUACCCACAGUGUCUUCUCUAUCACAAACUGUCUAAUGGUGGUUAUUGUAUAUAUGCAUAUAAUGAGGAUGCUUAGCUUUGGUUUAAAGAUCUUGCAAGGUUGAACGUGGAUGAGAGUAGUCCUAAGAAUCUAUAAUAUCUAUUGAGGGAUGUUAUUUUCUAUGUAAUCAUCCUAUUUAAACAUCAAUUGGUUGGGUAUUUUGAUGUUGAAAUACUAUUUAUGAGACUAAGACCCGUUUGACCAUGCUUUUUUUAACUUAUUUUUUUUUAAAAAACUGUUUAUAAGUUAAAGAAUACAAAAUAAUUUUCUAAUGUUUUAUAAAAAUAAGUGGGUUUUACAAGUUAAAUAAUGAUUUUUAACAAUGUGUUAUUUAAAAUAAAUAAUGAAUAAUGAUGAAUGUAAUAUUGUAAAAUGUUUUGAUUUAAUCUACAACUAGUUAGAUUGAUCUUUUAAAUUUAAAAUUAUUCUUAAAAAAUUUAAAUUUUAGUAAAGAAUUUAAACUAUUAGUUACAUCUUAAUUUAUAAUUUAUUUACUUAAAUUUAAAAAAUAUUGUUGUGUGUAGGGGAGAAAUGGUAAAAUUAUCAUAUAUCAAUUUUGAUGUAUUAUUUUUCAAUGAUUAGAUGUAUUUUUUUAAUUUCAAAUUAUUUAUAAAAAUUGUUAAAUCUAUUAAUAAAAUCAAUAUAAAGUGUCACUUGAUUUGAAAUUUAUUUUUAUAGUGAAAAAAUUUAUAAAAAAUAUAAUUAUGUACAUAAAAAUAAUAAUAAAGCCAUUAUGAACCAAUUUUUAUCCCUAUGUUUUUAGUAUUAAUGAGUUUAUUAUUUGAAGGAUAAUGAAUUCAACAUAUUAAAUUUUGUUUAAUUUAAAACUUAUUUACACAAUAAAAAAAAAAUAGAAAACAAUGAUUUUAUGUAGAAUAAAAACAAUAGAGUUAUUUUAGACCAAUUUUUAUUUAUAAAUUUCUAAUAUUGAUUGAAUCAGUUUUAGUAUUUCUUAUGAUCCAUCUGAUUGACAGUUCUAGAAAUCAUUUUAUAAUUAGAGUUAAAUAAUUAAAUUAAAACACAAAAGAGAAGAUGUUCUAGAAAGUAGAAAUACCCGUGGCAAAGAAAUGGAGAUAAAACCUAGAAAUGAAAACCUGACGGCUGACGGUACGCGGCCUUCUUUCGUGGGCCGACCGCCUGGUCUGGGCCCAAAUCACCAGAGAAUCCCGGAACACUCCAGAAAAACCAAUUUUCCUUGAAUAGCGGGGAAGAGGGAGAGGCGAAGCUAAAGGGAAAAAAUGUUCUUCUUCUUCGUGGGAGGAUUAGAACAACAGGUCCUGCAAGUACUGAAGAGCGGUGCCGGAAAAUGUAUAAACUGCGGGUCUAGAGCCGAUCUGGUGGACUACGAAAAGGUCCUCAAACUCUUCUUCGUGCCCGUAUGGCGGUGGCCUGGAAAAGAGCCUCUCAUGCACUGCCCCGAUUGCUUCCUCUUCUUCCCCCCUCCUACUCGUACAGGGCCACUCCUCGAUGUUCUCCGCUGCGCUUCUUGUGGUCGGCCUGUUGAAUCUAACUUCAGAUUCUGCCCUUUCUGUGGCUCUGCUCUCUAAUUCUCUUAUUUUCUCUCCUAGUGUUUGUUUGCUGUAUUUGGACCGUUUUUCUGUUUAAUAAUAUCAAUUAAUAAAGCACUUAUCUUUUCUUGUGCUUCAUAUUGAAUUACACUGUGACUGACUGGGCAAAUAGCGGUUCUUACAUACAUCUGACACAGAUGGAAUUACGAGCAAUUGAGAGUGAUGAAUUUUCAUUUAUAAAAUGAGGACAGAGUGAUGCUAUUAUACAGUGACACUGGAUCAGAGAUCAAUGAUACUUAUUUUGGCUGGAAAGCAAUCUUUAUGAUUCCAUUGUUCUCCAAAACAAGUACCAAAAGAUGAAAAAAUAAAAUAAAAUGGAUUUGACACUGUACACGAAACAAAAAUGAAGGUAGUGUACAGUAUCAAUUUAUUUUACAGGGGCUUUGUCUUGUAGGAACCAUCUCUUUUCUGCCUCAUAUUAAUUCACAGUUGCCGUUGGGGGUCGCACUGGAAGGAUCUUCUUGGUGGGCACCUAACUGCAGAAUAUAUUCAAAGGAGUUAUAGUUGAUGGUCUGCAGAGUUGGGUACUUGGGGGUUGGUUCUGAAGGAGCGGUAAUCGAAGUUAGAAUAUGUAGCUGAAGCUGCAUUUAUGUUGAUUCAGUGAAGGGUAAUCGCUUAGCUCCUCGUUCCACAGCGUCUCUCCAUAGCCUGUACCUCACUCCAAGCUUGUCAUAUGAUACUGGGCAGUUCCACACAUUUGCCCCCAUCAGCAUCCGGUCUUGUUGUCCAAGUACAAGCCGUAGAUCCUCAUUCAACACCUGAAAAAAAUCACACAUCAAGAAAUUGUGCAGAUAGAGAGAGGGUGGAUAGCAUAUGGCAUUUAACCAGAGUAAUGCAGAUACAAGAACAGAGCGCCUUAAACUUCAUGCUACUAUGUCAUCUUGAGGAAAUUAGUGGGAAGGAGAUUUUACCUUUUCUGCAAAAUAUCUCCAGAGAUAUUGCAUGAAAGGGAUGUGCUGAAGCACAGGAGCAAAGUCCAGUGACAUUCUGUACAGUAACCUUGUCUUGUCUCUUGAUGAAGGUAAGCAGACAUGGAGCUGAUGAAGAUGUGUCGCACACUGCUUGGUGCUCUGUCCCUCCAAUUUCCCGGGUUUUGAGAUACCAAUGGUUGACAGCACCAUACAAGGUGGUCGAAAUUCCAUAUCUAUGGGGUAGGGAUCCCAGUAUCCUUGGAGUCCAGAUGCAGGUGUCAAGAAUUUUACCAAGCUGAGAAUUCAGAUAAUACAAAACUUAAGCUGGAUGGGCCCUCCAAAAUAACCAUGAAAUGCAAUAUUGACAGGAACAAACCUAGGCACGCUCCAUCCUUUGGCAAAGGUGGAUGUAUGAGUGAAAGGGGCAUGUGCAAGAUCCAAAAGGUUAUCCAGAAGAAGCCCAUGUUCCACUGGAAGUUCCAUGACAAUCUGCAAUUCCCAAAAAAUAAUGAUAGAAAUGAGGAGACCAAAAAUGCCUUUUAAGUAUUCAAACAACAGAAAGAUCUGAAUGCAUUGAUAACAUACCUCAGCAUGGAUUUUAAAUCCUGGUGGAGGUUGUAAAGAAGGAAGGGUGGCUGUUGGAGGAUCACUGCCAGGCCAAAUCCAGAUCAUUCCCUCUUGCUCUAAACACGGCAAUGAUUUUAUUUUUACAUUAAGCAAUCGUGUUGACGGCAUUUUCUCGCAUUUCCCAUCUGUUGAGUACUCCCACCCUGAAGUUCAUCCAUCACAAAAAUUUCCACAUGAGCAAACAAAUAUUUUUUACUUUAUGCAUUACUAAUUGAUUUGUCAUCUGUUCUUAUUAGCAAAACAGGUAAACUUUUGCUUAUUUCCUUUCCCUCUUACUAACCAUGGUAAGGACAUUGGAUACGACCCUCGUUUACUGAUCCAAGAUGAAGAGGGCAUGCUCUAUGGGCGCAGGUGUUACGGACACAUCCAGGUUUCCCAUCUUGCCCACGAAAGACAACCCACGGUUCCUCAAAGCAAUCAAUUGGAAUCUGAAACAGAAAAAGGUGAAAACUGUUACAAGGAAAACUCACAGAUUAUCACAAGGCCAGAUAAGCUAUAAAUGUUUGCCUCCUCUCUUAUUGCUACUUAAGACAUUGUUGAGUAGCCACAAUGUGGAAAAUCUGUAUUUAAUCACUAAAUAUGAGCCUUAGAUGUUUGGAAAACUGGCUUACCAUGGUAUCAUCCUUCAGGUCUGUGGAGAAAGCAACAGGGUACCAGAAAUUCUUCAGACGAGGAUGGUAAGGCUGAACAGGACCUGAAACAUUCAAACUUUUCUGGGGAAGCUUUCUCUUUACCAUAUCAAGAGAUGCUGUGGAAGUACUAGGAGAAGUUGAAGUUGAAGUUUGAUUUGAAUCUGCUGUAUUUCUGUCUUGUAAUAGCCUAUCAUUAACCAAUUCUUCCAUGUAAGCCAACUUAUCUAAAGCAGUGCCAACCCUUGCUUCAGAUAUAUGAACCUGUUAUUCACAGUCACAAGGAACAAAAAAAAAAAUGGCCAUGAGAUUGCAGUUUCAAAGCAUGUACAUAACCAAUUGGAACCGGAAAAUCCAGAUUUAGUGUGACUAUGUAGGCACUCAUUGAUAAGAAUAUGAUGGAUCAGUGAGAUGCUUCUUGAUUUAUCUAAGUCACAGCAUUUGCAUCAAAGCAACCAAAACUUUUCCAGACCUGUCUGUGAGCUUGUGCUAGCUCUUCUUGCAGCCCUGCAAGGUCCUUCUUCAAUGUGCCAAUGGACUUGUAUUCACGGGCCAAAGGAUUUAGAACUUCCACAACCUACGCCCACAUCAUUCAAUUCAGAAUUCCCCAAUAAAUUCAAAAAAUUUCAAUGUAUAAAACAAAAAAUCAGACUCAAUGUUUAUAUUUAUAGAACUACAAACAAAAAAUCAAAGGGAAAGACAGACAUUAGAAAAUCAAAUAAAAACUAGUGAAUAAAAUGGAGGAUAGAAAACAAGAGGGGACCUUUUCAUGGAGGAGCAUGAUUGUAAGCAGAUCUUGCCGAGCCCGCCAAUCACAGUACUGAAUAUCAAAUCUAGCUACUUCAAGAGCUUGAUUUACAUCCAAGAACUUCCCUUUGGAUUGUGGGAAUUUAGACCUUGGAUCCUCCACAUCAAAGAUUGUGCCCCAUGUGCUCUUCCUCUCCACUGACCCACUUUCAUCUCCAAAUACAGCAAACACCCGAAGCCCUCGUCUUUCACCCUGAAACCUCGCACCACCCAUCAUGAUAUAAGCAACAAAUCUGAUAACCCUAACUCAAUUUUCUUCCAGAUUUAUCAUGCGCCAAAGCAAAGUUAUCAGGAUAACAAAUCAAAGUUCAUAUCAUCUGGGGUUAAAUUCCACAAUCCACCCGAAAAUUCAACUGCCCAUAUAAUUUAUCAAACAAACAAGAAAACAUAGCUUUUGGGUCCUCAUUGAUUCAUUGCUUCCCCUCUUUUGGGUCUGAAUACACAUUACAACAAUCCAACUAAACUAUAUUGUUCUCUAGACUGAUUGGGUAUCCAGAAAAUCAAUAUUAGCCUGAGUUUCACUUUCUUGCUUGGACUGCAAGCUCUACUGGUGAGUACCACAACCAAACCUACAACUCAACUCACCAGUCAACCACUUCAACCACACUUUCCUCUACAUUUAGCAAGUACCCAGAUCAAUUCAUCCAAGAAACACCUUAAAAAAUAUUCAAAAGAGACAGAAACAUACCUUUUUGGUGUUGAUCUUAGAAGUUGGGCAUAGAGAUAAUGGAAGAGAGAGGGCAGCAGCAGUAGCCACAAUGGUCAUGGCUGGCGUUUGAAGGUGGCCAAUAGGGGUAAGAGAAAAAAAAAACUGGUUAUAAUUUAGAGAGAGAAAUAUAAUAGCGAUGGCUCCAGCGUCGGGAGAUUUUGAUGAUAAGAGGUUGGUAUUGAGCGCGAUCCCGAGUGCCUGCCAGGAUAUGACACGUGGAAGAGCGUGGACUAGAAUGUUGCCCACGUGGCACACACUCCAACCACAUGGUCUGCUUCUUCUGAAAGUGUAUCCUCCGUUUUUGGGGUCCCCAUAUCCUGCCACGUCGGAUCCCCUAGAUUUCAUUCUCAAUCCUCUCGUGUAAAAUGUUGGAUUUCUUAUAAUAAAAUAUUUGAUAAUUUUAUUAUUUAUUUACCAUAAUAAUAAUAAUUUAUUAAAAUUGAGACUUAUUAUUAAAAUAUUAUUUAAUUUUUUUACGAAAAUUAGAUUUUACUUUUCUCAUCAACUCACCUACCCAGAAAAGGACAAAGUAAAGUGAAGGGACUGUGGCAAAAGCGUUGAAUUAAUUGCUACUGUUACUGUGGGUCGCAGGACAAGAGGGGCGAAGAGGUAGAGGAGAGCGAGAGAAGAGAAGACUCAUGGCAAGAGCACCUCAAGGCCAAAACAAAGCUCCAGGAGCUUUCUUCUUGGCGACUCUGCUGCUAUGGAUGAUCUCUGUGUUGUUCGAGAUUGUGUUUAACAAGAGAAGGGAGCUACUCUCUGUUGUUGGUGGCUUUUGUUUCUAUCAAUUUGCCAACUGGGUCAUCCGCUCGUGGGUCUCCAAGGACCCUCUCCUGGUCAAUACUUGCGUUUCCCUCCUCCACUCCUCCAUCACCUCCGCUUCAGGUCAGCUCCCCGGAUUUUCUUUUGCUGCUUUUUCCUGGAAUUGGGUGCUUGUUAUUUUAUCGUUUUCUGAAUGUUUUGUGGUGCUUAUUUGGCGUUUUGUCUUCUGGGUUUUCUUUGGGUCUAUGGAUAGAAUUGUGUGUGUGGCAUUGCUUUCCCGAUUCUUGGCCACAUUGUGGGGUUAAGCAUGUUUUCUACUCUUUUUUUUUCUUCUGGUUUCUUUGGAUUUUUAAUUCUUUUAUCAAUUAUGCGCGUUGAUCUAGGUAUUGUUUGAUUAAUAAUGGAAGCAAGAGAAGGUGAAAGGGAGGCUAAUCAAAUGUUAAUUUCCGCGUUCUGUUUCAUCCUGAGAAUUGGAAAGGAUUUGCUAGAAUUGGGUUUUUUUUCCCAACUGAAUAAGAAGGCUUGUCUCAAAUUCAAAACCCCCAUCCAUGAGAAUUAAAUGAGAAGUGAUUGUAAUUCAGGGCACUCAUGAAAAUGAUAUUAAGUUAUGUCUCAUCUUAGCCUAGACUGCCUAGUUAUGAUAUGUGAAUGUGAUAUGGGCUUGUUGAAGGUGAUAGUUGGCACCAUGGGAAUAUUCUGCUUGUCGAUGGCUGAUCUAGAUAUGCACGAAUCAUCUCACAUACAUCUACUUUUUCAUAGGGUAAAAUAUGUUAAAAUAACUUGUUGGAAAGUCUCCCAACUUCCUAAUUAGUAUAGAUUCUUUUUGUAAAGAAUAUUGUAUAGAAAUUCCUUUUAGAAUAAGGAAGGUUAGUUGGAAUAUCUCUAUAAAUAUUCUAGGUCAUAAGGAGAAAAAGUUAUGAGAUGUAAUGGGCUUGUAAAGACUACGAGGUGGAUAAGGAUGUGAGGAAGAACAAAGAUAUCCGGUCGAGCGAGAGAUUCGUUGUAAUAUUCUUUUCUCUGUGAUAUUGUCUAUGGCAUAGUGGAAUGAUUCUCUCUCAUCUGUGGAUGUUGGCGUGGUUGGCCGAACCACGUUAAAACCUUAUGUACCAUGUGUGUGAUUGUUUUAUCUGUGUUAUUAAACUAACAUGUUUGCAUUAAAUCUUUUGCUAACACAACAUAACUAAAGUUUGUUAACGUCAAUUCCUUGAGUGAACUAAUAAAAGAUAGAGAACUCCCCAAUCAUCAUAACCCAUCCCCUAGUGCUAGAAGGAAGGAAAUUCACAUUAUUGGAAUCCUCUCUCAUGGGUUAAAAGUUACUUUCCAUAAGUCCAUCUUGCCCAAGUGGAAAGCCACUUACCAUAACUAGGCUAAGGCAAUAUUUUAAGACACAAUCAACACUACAUCUUACUAGCACAUUGACGAAGUCCUCAACUCUAUUCUUUAUAAUAUAUAGCACCAAUAUUGUAAUUACAAGACACAGCUUUGUUAAUCUGAUGAACUAAUGAUUCAGCUAAUGACAUUAAUAUGGUCAAUUGACCGAUUGCCAACAUAACAAAAGGCUUAAGUUGGGAUACCCUCAGAAAGAAUAUAAACAGCUGAUAAUCAUUGGUUUUCUUUGUCGGUCACCUACUGCUGUAGCUGAAAAACCUCCUUUAUGCAUCUAAAAUCAAUUGGUAUUUGAUAAGAAUAUGCAAAGUCAAGUAAACCAUAAUUUGAAUGACUCAUCCAAAGAGCUAAUAAGAUUAAAUCAAAUCUUUUUUUAUGGCAAGCCUGCUCUAAGAAUUAGUUAAGUGUGUUGAACCUUUUAUGAUGAACCUGCUACGAGCCAUUUGGGUGACUCAUUCCCUCAAGGCUAAUGUAAUAGUUAUUUGGGUGACUCAUCUUUUGAGCUUAAGUGUGACAUUAUUAUAUUUCAACAAUUAUUUAUCAUGCUCUUGUAACUUGAACAUACGAUGUAUAACUUUGAUACUAAUUAUUAGUAGCUAACAGAAGUAGAUAAAACCUUUUAUGACAUUUUAUAUCAUAUCUUGCUUCAAGAGUUAUUAUUUGGAUGACUUAUCCCAACCUUAAAAGCAACAUUAUUUUUUUUUUAUAUAGGUAAAUAAGAGUUUGUAUUAGUCAUGCCUAGAAACGGCAAAAAAAGUACACACAGAGUAUACAAACAAUGCCCAAGAGCUAGGCAAAAAGAAAGACAAAAACCUUUCACCUGACUAGAGAAAAGCCACUUUAUAAAAUCAAUCAUGGACAAAGAAUGAUCCUCUAAAUACACCCUACCCCAAUUCACAAAAGUGUACAAAAAAAAAAAAGUUUUAAACCUCGAUAGGAUCGUUCUGUUCUGUGUCAUUGAACACUCUCUCAUUUCUUUCCUUCCACAAGGUCCACAUUAAACAAAGGGGGGCAGCCCUCCAAGUCUUUUCCUUUCUCUUACUCAUAAAAGCACCAUGCCAACUAAUCAAAUUCCUUUUGAUUGAGGAGUGCAGGACCCACUGCACAUCAAAUAAAGAGAAAAGCAAGCUUCAUAGCAUUGUAGCCUUCUUACAAAAUAAUAUCAAGUGGUCACUGGUUUCCUCUUUCAUUUUACACAAGUAACUCCUAUUCACUAUAUUUCGGCCCUUUCUUUUGAGCUAAUCAAUGGUCAAGAUUCUGUUCCAAGAUGCUUCCCAAGCAAAAAAGCUUACCCUCAUUGGAGCCGAAGACGUCUAAACAAUAUUCCAAGGAAAAGGGUCACUAGAAGCUCUUGUGAAGGAGCGGUAGAGUGAUCUAACAGAAAAAUAGUAGUUCUUGCUAUUCUUCCAGCUUAAGACAUCUUCCACAUCUCUAUUCAAAACCAAAGGAUGCAAUUUCCGGAACAAGCCCUCCACCUAUUCCAUUUCUCAAUCAUUAAAGUGUCUUGAAAACAGAGGAUUCCAGCUACCCACCUCCCCGCCCUCCUCCUAAGCAUCAAACACUCACUCAUCCUUGUUGACCGCUAACCAGAACAAAUUAUGGAAAGUAUCUUUCAACGUUUGGUCCUCACACCACAAAUCCUUCCAAAAUUUAACCUUCCUUCCAUUUCCUACGAGAAAGCAGGAUCUAGAGCAAAUACUUUUCCAAUCUUUUCUAAUAGCUUUCCACACUCCCACACCAUGGGCUUCCCUUGCUUCUCUCGAUCACCAACCUCCUUCCUCUACCCCAAAUUUGUCUAUGAUGACUUGUUUCCACAAAGAAUCAUUUUCUAUAGCAAAUCUCCAACUCCACUACCCAAGUAAGGUUUUGUUUUAGGGUCACAAGGCUGCGAAAACCUAGGCCUCCCUGCCUCAUAUUGGCACAAACCGAACUCCAAUUCACCAAGUGCAGUUUUUUCUCUAAGGCACCACCAUCCUACAAAAAGUCUCUUUGAAUCUUUUCAAGUUUUGUACACACCUUCCGUGGAAUGACAAAGAGAGACAAAAAGUAAAUUAGAAGACUUGAAAUAGUGUUUUUUAUCAAAGUAAGUCUUCCCCUCUUAGAAGGACAAAUGUUUUCUAAAUCUCUCUUCCACCAUGUCCCACACCCUUAAUGAUUUGAAAAUGGCACCCAAGGGAAGACCCAAAUAAGAAGUAGGAAGCUUCCCAACUCUAUACCCUAUCACCGAAACAAUAUUCUCCAAAUAAUCAAUCAUUCCUAUAGGGAUAGCCUAACUUUUAUCCCUGUUCACUUUUAAACCAAAAAUCGCCUUGAACCAUAAAAACAACCAACUCAAUUAUCCUAGCUGCUCACUAUUGGCCUCGCAAAAUAAUAGUGUGUCGUCAGCAAACAGAAGAUGGAGUAGAUCCCUUCCUACUCUACUACUACUUCCCACCUUAAACCUCUCAAUGAAACCCCCACUUCUGGCUCUGAACAGCAGCUGGCUGAGAGCCUCCAUGACUAAUAUGAAGAGAUAAGAAGAUAACGGAUCGCCUUGUCUCAAACCCCUAGUACUGCGAAAAAAGCCUGAAGGGGUUCCAUUAAUUAAAACUGAGAAAUUAGUUGUGGAGAUGCACCACCUAAUCCAAUUAAUUCACCUCUGCCCAAACCCCAUCUUGGACAUAACUGACAGAAGGUAGUCCUAAUUGACACGAUCAAACGCCUUCUCAAUGUCCAAUUUCAAAAGGAAACUAAAGAAAUUAUCCUUCAACUUAGAGUCUACAGCCUAAUUUGCAAUGAGCGCAACAUCCAAAAUCUGCCUAUCUUGAAUGAAAGCAUGCUGGAACUUUGAAACCACCUUCCCCACAACUAGUUUCAGCCUAUUUGCCAAGACUUUGGCGAGCAACUUGUAAAGGCUCCCAACCAAAUUGAUCGACCUGAAAUCUUUCAACUCUUCUGUACCCCCCUUUUUUGGGAUCAGAACAAGAAAAAUGGAGUUUAGACUCCUUUGAAAAGUGCCAAGGCGGAAAAAGUCACCAAAAAAGGCCAUUAUAUCGCCUUUGGUAAAUUCCCAAGAAAAUUGCCAAAAUGUCAUGGUGAAGUCAUCUGGACAAGGUGUUUUAUCGUCGGAAAGGUUGCACAAGGCUUCGAAAACUUCUUCUUCUGAGAAAGGCACCUCUAAACUUCUAGACCUUUCUGUCCCCAAAACAUGAAACUGUAAAUCCCCAAUUCGCAGUCUCCAAUCCGCAUUUUCCAAUAACAAAGUCCGAUAAGCCCUACACAUCCCAGACUUGAUAUCUUCCUCAUCAAUGAGAGUGACCCCAUUAAUUUUCACCUUGGAUAAAAACUUCCUUUUUGCCCUGGCAUUGGCCAUCUUAUGAAAAAAACCGGUAUUCUUGUCUCCCUCCUUUAACCAGGUUUCCCUAGAUUUUUGUCUCCAGGAAGUUUCUUCCAUUAAAACACAAUUCUUGUACUCCUCCAAAUCCCGCAUUCGAGCCUCUGCUUCCUCAAAAGACAAGGGAUUAACUCUCUCCUUGGAAUCCCAUAAUUGAAUACGAAAGAGGACUUCUAAUUUUCUAAUAGAGACAUUACCAAAAACUUCUUUAUUCCAACUUUUUAGAUCCUUUUUAAGAGACUUCAACUUCUCAGCAAGGCAGUGGCUGUUGGUCCCUGCAACCAAGUACCCAGUCCCCACCACUCUCUUACUAGCUCUUUGAGCCCAUCCGACAGAAGCCACAUAUUCUCAAAAGGGAAAGGAGUCUUGCCUUCUAGAAAAAUGGGGCAAUGAUUAGAGACAAUUCUAGGGAGACAAAAAUGAUUUUAAAUGGUAAUUUUUAAGAAUAUUUAGUUCACCAAAUAAAAGUAACUAAUAUUAAAAGAUAUUUUGUAAUAAAAUUUGUACAAAAAGGGAUUUGAAUCAUGGAAUAUUUGUUUUGUGUGCUCUUAUAUUGAAACAUCAGGCUUUGUUCUUAUUCAAGAAAACCUUCUCACCUUCAAUAUACUUUAUUUCUAAUCAAACAUAAUUCAAUUCAAAAUAAUUUGAUGUUAAGGGAUCUCUCAUUCGUCAACCUCGUCUAAUUUAAAAUAUUUUAGUUCUCAUCAUAACAUAUAAAAAAAAAAACAUUAAGUUAUUGAAAGAUUAGGCUAAAUUGAUCCUACUGAAUAAAAUUUCAAAUAUUAUUCUCAUCAUAACAUAUAAAAAAAUGCCCUCCUUAUACUCUGCAUGUUCAGAUAGAUGACAUAUUAUUUUAGAUUUACAAAAACCAUAGUGAUACCGACUACCACUUUGUUUUUCACUUGGUCACAUGUUGCCUCAUCCAUAUUCUCUUCAUCCCUUCAGUUUACACAUUUUAUUAUUAUCAUUCUGUGAUAGGAUUUUGAUUUCACUGAACAAAUACUCAAUAGUUUUGCAACCUCUUGUGAAAAUUUGAGUGGUGCAGAUCUACAAUUUGAACCAUGUGACCUUUUUUCCCUACACCGCUUUAUCUAGGACCACAUCUUCUCUGAGAUCAUAAGUGGCCAAUAACACAUCUAUUUUGAAGGACUUCAUUUGUAUGGACAUGUUUAUAUCCAUAUUAAUCAAGGUUUAAAACCCAGUCUUGUUGUGGCUUGAGGUCUAUGAAUUUUGUAUGUGAAAAUGGCUAUCUUCCUUCAGUUAACUUAGGUUCAUUGUUCUACCAUGGAUACUGAUACUGAGUACGUGAUACUGAAGAAGAGGAUUUUUUUUUUUCCUUCUAUCAGACCAAUCUUGUUUGGAUAUAGUUCCUCAUGGUACCUGUUGAUUCACACACUUUUUGGAUAGUUAUAAUAUUACCUCUUACCUAGGCUGUUUCUUUGAUCAUUGAUUCAUCACUGUCAACCUUGGUAAGUUAGGUUUCAGGAAAUUAUUGCUCCAUUUGUGAGCUUAGAUGAACAUUUGGACAUAUGCUAAAUGGCUUAGACAAGGCAAACUUGACAAGAUUCUUGACCUAGGAAUGAUUGAAAUGGACUCAUUUGACAACAGAAGUAAUAGAAAAUACUUUGCAGAGAGUCAGGAUUGGUUCAUUUAUUUUCUGAUCCAACUGCCAUUGGAUCUUCCUAUGAAAAUUUGCAGUAUGACUAAUAAACUAACGGUUGAAGUAAUGGUUGCUAGUUUCUAAGAAACCAACCUUCUUGCAAACCAUUACCUAUCAUUUUUUUCUUAAAUAGAGAAGCGAAAAUAUGAAACUCUUUUUUUUUGGUGGGAUCACCUGUUAAUUGCCAUGUGCAUCUUUAAAAUCUGUUGUAAAAUUCAUCCUUGCUGGAGAAAGUUUCUCCAUUUUGUGUACAGUUUCAGGAUCCCUGUUUCCUGUUCCUGUAAUUACAAAUUGUGCUACUUCCUGUGCAGUGAUUUUUAUUUUGGUCAAUGAGUUGAUAAGGAUGGGUUCCAAUGGGAUGUUUGAGCACUCAAAGCUGGUUGGGAACACUUGGCCCUGGGCAUACCCAGCUCUGUGCUUUUCAUGUGGCUACUUUGCGUACGAUCAGUGGGAUAUGCUGCAUUACCGAUUGUACAGUGGUUGGAUCCCUUCCAUCCUAGUGCAUCAUCUGUUGCUACUUGUUUGCUUUACACUUGCAUUAUAUCGGAAUGUCACCAUCAACUAUCUUAUUCUUACUCUCAUUUGUGAGGUAUGCCUCUAUAACAGUCUUUCUCUAUGUAACUAUUUCUAAUUCCUCUUUUCUGUUUGAAUGUUUCCUUUUUUUCUCUUCUACUUUUUAUUUUUACCUAUUGAAUUAUUUAAGUACAAUCCAUAAAAUUGCUGAGACGGUGGAGGCAAUUUGGCCCCUUCAUCUACAUCCUUUAAAGCUUUUAAAGUUUGUGGGUAUCGUGCCCAUUCAUAUAUACUUGGCAUUUCAAUACUCGAGGGAAUUAGACUUUUAAACCUUUGAACUAGAGUGGAAGGCCAGAUGCUGUGUAGUGGCUAUAUAGUCUGCUGUUCAGUUCUUUAAUUAUGAAAUACAAGGAUUUGAAUUGGAUUCGAGGGUCUUAAUCUAAACUGAAAUGAAAUACCAGAUCGACACUGUUAAAUUUAUGCUGAUGUAAACAAUGCCUGUUUUGUUUCAACAGAAACCAAAAUUUUGCAUUGAUUCUAUUUAUGUUAUGUUAUUCAAUGCUUUCAUAACAGAGACUAAGGAACUAUGAAUAGCCAAUCUAUUUCUAGAAAGCGGCCUCACAAUUCUUAUAAAUUUUUUCAUUGUAGAGUUUAUUAUGAACAUGUUUAGUUAGGAACCCAACUUACCCUUUAAGGUUGUUGUCUUGUUGACUAUCUUAAGCACUUAUGUAACUAUGCCUCUGCUAAUUUUUUAUGUUAAUGAUGAAAAUUCUUCUGAUGAUACAGCUGCAUUCUAUCUUUUUGCACACGAGGAAAGUGAGACGGAUGGCUGGUAUUCGUGAUGCAAAAAGCAAGGCGGUGAAGGCAGAAUGGGUCCUCAGCUGGAUCACCUUCAUUGUAGCAAGGUUUGCCCCACACAUUCUCAUUACAAUCAAGCUUAUCAGAGAUUCUCCAAGGUUCGAAAAGGGUGUGGAGUUGCCUCUAGCAUUGUUUGGGAUGGGAGGGAUGAAUUUGCUCAACACUUUCCUGGGUAUUGAUCUCUUCAGAGCUUACAGGAGAGAGAAGAGUUCUCAACAUCAUGAAUGAUGAAGUUCUUUUGUAUCUUAACUUUCAUCAUUUGUUGUUAUUGAUUUUGCGUAGGAAAUGAAUGAUUAGCUUACAUUUUUGUCAUGUCAGCUGUAAAUGACAACACCAUUUGUUUGUCUCAGUUUCUACAUGAAAUAUAGCAAAAAAAUUGUCUGAAUUUCAAUAUGAAAUGGAGCAAAUCUCUCAUUCAUAGUAAGUUACUGUAUGAAAGCAGAUGACUAAAAGUAAAAAAUCUCAAAAACAGAAGUAAGGUCCUACCGGGAGUCGAACCCAGGUCGCUGGAUUCAAAGUCCAGAGUGCUAACCACUACACCAUAGAACCUUGUUGUUGCUUCGUUUUCUAUUGUUUAUAAUAUUGUUUUUUAUUAAUCAAAAUGCUAAAAAAGUUUAAAGAUAGUUUUUUGCGUGCUGUUUUGACAAUGUAUGUUCAUGGACCGGAUGCCAGAAGGCCAGUUUUGGAGGGUGUUUCAGAAUAUUUUCCUUUUCCUGAUAUUUUCAUCUUCAACUUUGAGUCAUGCUUCAUUAUAAGAUUGUCUUUUAACAUUUAUUGGUAUGUUAAGUAGGUAUCCCAUAUCCCGUUUAUUUCUAUCUAAUGUUUUUUUGUAAAAAAUAAAAAAUAAACAUGUACGAUGACUUUGCCCUACCCUGUCCUGUUUAGUUUUUUUGUUUUUAAAUAUUUCAUUUUAGUUACUUUUAAAAUUUUAAAUUAUAUUAAAAAUAAAAAUAAUUUAUGAAUAAAUAAGUAUUAUAAAUGUUUAUAGUUUAUUUUGAUAAAAAGUUAAAUUUUCUAUUUUAUAAUAUGCUAAAAAGAUUGAAAAUUGGAAAAAAAAUAUAUCAAUUAAAAUAUAUUUUUAUUUAGUAUUAUGUGUAAUUAGGGUGAGACAACUCGAAGAAAGUCACACCCGAUCUCAUCUAAUGUUUCAAAAUUUCUUAAACUUGCCUCAAAACUUUUUUUACUUAAAACAUUCCACCAUAUUAUCAUCCCCAAACUCACCUCAUAUAAGUAAAUUUUAUAUGUUUUUACUUACAAUAUUUAUAUUUGUAAAAACAAAUAUGUAGUAAAAUGGGAUUAUAUGAAUUUGAUUUUGACAAUUUUAUUUAAACUUUUAGAAUAUUUACAAACUCUCGAGUAAUAAAUUUAUAUUAACAUUACGUGAAUUUGAUUUUGAUCAUUUCAUCUAAAAUCGAUUGAUAUCAAAUGAAAAUAUGCAAAGUCAAGUAAACCAUCAUUGAAAUGAUUCAUUCAAAGAGCUAAUACGAUUAUAUCACAUCGUUCUAUGGUAAAAGCAUGUUCUAAAAGUUAUUUAAGACAUGUCAAACUUUUUAUGAUAAAAAAUUAUUGUUUGUUCGUUCGUUUAUUAUCAUUGGAAUGUCAUCUUAGGCUCGAUCUAACAUUACUAUUUGUUUUGUCGUUUCUCUUCAAUGGGACGUCAUUAUAGGUUCUAUCUAAGUCUAUUCAUUUGUUCAUUUGAUUUGUCAUCGUUGAGAUGUCAUCUUAAAUUAUUAUAUUUUAAUAAUUAUUUUUCAUACUCUUAUAAUUUGAACAUAAAUAUACAAUUUUGAUACCAAUUACUAGUAUUUGACAGAGGUAGAUGAUUUUUUUUUUUUUAAUGAUAAUUUAUAUCAUAUCUUACUUAAAGAGUUAUUAUUUUGAUGACACAUUUCACGCUCUCAGCUUUAAAAGCAACACUAUGACACUCAAUCAACCAUCAUCCUAAUAUAUUUAAUAAAAAAAGUUUUAAGAAAAUUUUAUUCAUAAAAUAAAAUGACUCGUAUUAAAAUAAUCAUGGAACAUGCGUUUUGUAUGUUUUUUUUGUCUUAAAGCAUCAAAUAUGUAAUUCAAAUCGAGUUGUUGUUAAAAGUCGUUAGCUUAAUCUAAAUUAAAAUAUUUUACAUGUCACCCUAACAUAUGGAAGCCAUUAAGUCAUUGAAAGAUUAGACUAAAUUGGACCCAAUGAAUAAAAUUUCAAAAAUGAGUGUUUCCUUCUUUUCUUUUUGUACUUUGUUAGUUAUAAUGUUAAGACCCGUGACAACAUGGGGUGGUGGCGCAGUUGGCUAGCGCGUAGGUCUCAUAGCUUCCGAGUAAUCCUGAGGUCGAGAGUUCGAGCCUCUCUCACCCCAUCUUUUUCAUUUAUACACUCAAUCACAUCUCCGAAAACGUCAAUAAAAUAAGAUUGAUUUUAAUGAUUUGAUCAAAUUUAAUUUUAGUAAGAAACAAUUUAUUUGAGCCCGAAAAAGGCUUUCAAUACAUGGUAAAACAAAUAUUUAUAAAUACUGUCAUUAAUUUUUUUUUUUAUAAAAAAUUAUUCCAAAUAUAUAUAUAUAGUGAUUUAAAAAAAAAAAAAAUCAUAUAUAUAUUUAAAAUAUUUAUUAUUUAUAUAAAGUAUAAACAGUGAAAAAAUAAAAUCUGAGGGAAUGAAAAGAUUGGGUGGGUAUGGUAGAAAAGGACCCAUGAAGAGGGAGGCACAUGUACCAUACUUUUGACUUUAAAUAUCAAUCACUCCUCUGACACAACUCUAUGCAAUAUGUUGCAUUUUGCAAAGGGAAAUUGCAAUCGACCCACAUCUAAUAAUUGCUCGUGCACCAUUCUUAUGGUGGACCCCCACAUUUUACACGUCGGAAAACAUAUUUAACAGAAUUUUCAAACUUUUUGAUAUUAUGAUUUAAAAAUAUUUUUUUAUUUUUAAAAAUAUAAAUUUAUUUUUAAAAAUUCCUUUAUUGUUGCUUUUUUAUAAAUAAUUUUUAAAAAUAAAAUAAAAAAUAAUUUUUAGAGAAUAAGUAGAAUUAUUUUUGCCCAUUUAAAAAAAAACGUAGGUUCAUCAUUUUUUUUUAAAAUUUGGUUUUUUUAACUUAAAACAAGUUUUAAAAAAUAUAGUGAAUGGAAGAAUUUGUUUUCAAAACAUAUAUUAAUUUUUUAGAACAAAUUUAAAGUGUUUUUAAUUUCUUUUUAUAUAAAUUAUUGAUUAACAAUUGCAAAUAUGGAAACUGAGAAUUUCUGUGUUGUAUAUAAAUAUAAAGUAUUUUCAUAAAAAACAAUUAAAAAAAAUUUCCUUUUCAUAUUUAAAUUUACAAAUAAAUUUUUUAUUCUAGGAAAUAAUUUACAAGAACAUAAAAAAAAAAGGAAAAAAAAAAGGGCAUGUUACCGCCGAGGAUUACUUGGUGUGAGCAAAUGGGUACCCUAUGAGUUCCAUACAAAACGUUUGUUCUACGUAAGCCUCCUAAAAUCCCACUUUUACUUGGCUUUCUUCGUAAUUCACAGCCUCACAUGGGUACAAUGGUCGAUGAAAAAAAAAAAAAACAGAAGUCUGACAUUGAAAUUGGUGAUUGGUAAAAAGGAAAAUUCUGAAAAAUGGUAAUCAGUGGAUAAUGUUUUUGUCAAAUUUUAGUUCAUAAGGAAGCUCAAUAAUAACAACAACACUACCAAUAAUUGGAGAAAAUAAAUAAACCAGAGACACCCAAUGAUUUGGAGGAGAGAUGUCCAUCAGGAAAAAAAAAAUCCAGGGCCCGCCCACAUGACAAAGCCAUUAUCUCUGGAUCAUCCUCAUCAAAUGGGAAUGUUCCUCACAGCAUUUUAUUGUAAUUACAUAAAUUUUGUGGGAAAAUUGCAUGACCCAUCUUCAUUCUUCUUAUCUUUUUUCAAUGAUUAUCUCAUUUGUUGAAUUUAUUAAAAAAAUAAAUUAAAAUAUCCAAUUUCAUGAAGGUUGUGGACCUGGUUAUAAAUUAUAAUGAUCUGCGGGUCAGGCUGCAGCUCAUUGUAGUGUUUGAGAAAAAUAUGAGCACAGAUCUCAAAGAAAUGCGUCAAGCCCAACAGCAGAGCCAGAGAUGGCCGGACAAACAGUAUAAGGGAGGACAUAGAAAAGGGGAAAAAGCAGAAUACUGGGAAUAGUUUAAUAUUAGAUUGCUACAAAAGAUCCCUCAUCCAUGGGCGGGAAUAAUUGAAGCUGAAUUUCAAAAAUGGUUAAUAAAAAUAGAAGGCUGAAAAGUGUACAGUAUUUAAGGUCUCAUUCCGGGCUCACAGCUUCAUUUAUUCACCAUCACAUGCUCUCCUGCCUUUCCCCCUUUAUAUUCGAUAAAAAAAAUGGAGUUUCUAAAGCAAAAAAUAAAAUAAAAAAAGAACCAAAAAUAGAAACCCAUUAUCGGCAACUUGCUAUCAGGGUUCCAACUGACAUUCUACAGAUUUUUGCAGAGUUGCUUUGUGGCUUUUGAUGUCUUCAGCGAUUUGAAAUCUGAACCCGGGUUUUUGGUUUUGUUUUUUCAUUUAUUGCUGGUUUCAAUCUGAUCUCUGGGCUGGUUUUGGUAUCCAGUCAAAGGUGGUUUUCUCUUGGGCCUUUCUAACUUAUAUUUUUUAUUUUUUAUUAGUAUUAUUUUAUGCAUUGAGCUUCUGGGGGAAGAGUCAGGAGGGUUCUGUGCUUCUUAGAUUUGAUGAGGAGCUCCAUUUUAUUGGGUGUUGUUGAUUUUUUUUUUAGUUCUAUGUCUCGUGCUUGAAUGUUCGCCACUGUUUCAUUGAUUCUGGUUUCAUCCGUGUGGAGGAUUUUUUUUGGAAGAUUUAAUGAGUUUUCAGCAGGUGGGUAGUUUCCCUUUUGGAUAUUCAAGUAAUGGGUCUGUGGGGAUUUUACAGUUCAGAGGGGUUUCGGAGACCAUUCUUGGGAUUGAAUGUUUGGUUGGUCCUACCAGUCCCUUUGUCUUCAACAUGUGUUUUGUUUCUGUUUUUCUUCUGGUCUCUUUUCUUUUAUUGCUGUCUUAAAAUGUUGCGGUUUUCUUGUUGAGAGUUGAAUGGUGAUUGGCUGGAUUUGAAUCAAAGCUGAAAGGCUGAUAAGCUAAGUUAUCUCUUUGCUAAAUGUCUCAGAUUGUUGAAGAGGAGGUGUUUUGCAUAUUUUUUUAGGGUCUGGAGUUUCGUUAUCCCAUGAGUAGCAGCAGAAACUGGUUUGGAUGCACAUUUUAUGCUUUCAUGUUUGAUUUCCUGUUAUUUGAAAGAUUUUUUUUUUUUUUUUUUGGUAGGUUUUUAUUGAACUGUGGUGACAUGGGUUUGUGAAUGUGCAGAUGAACACUCUGUGAUGUGCUAGUUGGUGUUUGAUUUUUGAGCUUGUUGGAGAUGGAAAAAAGGAAAUGGCUGUGGAAAAGGAAGUCUUCUGAGAAAAGCCCUGGUGAGACUGAAAGUUCUGGAUCAAUAUCCUCCCACUCUGAAAGAUACUCGGAUGACCAGGUUGGUGUUUAACCUUCCCCACAACAUUUUUCCUCUUGAUUCCCCUUUUUGCCUUGGGCCUUUGGUUUGCUUGUGUAUGUCUGGUUAGGAAUCCAUUAACCGGAAAUAGUCUCAAGCAUCCUUUGUUGUGCUUGUUUCAUUAUGUUAGAAUAGUUGCAUUCGGCUCUUUCUGUUGAGCUAACCUCUUAAUGGAGGUUGCAUAUUCUGGCGAAUUCAAAAGUUUGACAAUUUCCUCUGUGAAACCCUGCUUUUCAUAGAAGUUUUCUUUUUCCUCCUUAUAAAGAGUUUGAAGAUUGAAGUUGCAGAGUUGAAUUUUGAUGUCAAUUAAGAUACACGGAAGCCAUUAUUCUUUGGUGGGUAUUAGUUGCCCGGCUGUCCUCCAUGUUUUCCAUUUUUCCAAAUUCCUUCACUGAACUUGCUCUGUUCAAUCAUGCAUGAGAGAGAAUAGGACCACUGGAUUGUCCCAAGCGGGUGGACUUUUCUGGUUUCUGUGGAACCACUACAACUUCUCGUGGGUCCAAGUCCUUGAGCAAUUCAAGUUGCUCCUAUCUCUUGCCUAAUAGGCUACCACUAGAGCACAUCAUCCCUAUAAAAAUCUGGCAUUUGGGUCCUUAAUAUAAAUGAUAAAAUGCCACAAUGUGUUCCCAAGAAAUCUCAUUUUAUUGUGAUUAACUUCCACGUUGAAAUUUGUCUUUGAUUGAAGACAUUGAGUGACAAUAUUAACAAUUGCAAAUGUGUCUUAUUAUGGAUGUUUUAUAUGAUGUCCAAGACUUGUCAAUCCCAAAGACCUCUCUGUUUAAAAUCCCAAGCAUCAAUUUCUUUCCCAAUGGAAUGUUAAAAGAUGCUUUGGCCAAUAAGUUUAAAGGGGUAAAGAAUAAAAAUCAUCUAACUAGGUUUCCAGCUUGCAUUUUAUGUCACAAGUGUAGGUAGGUUCUGGCAUAUCUAGGGUCUCUCUGUAGCAGAGUGCAUUGCAUUUGCACCUUGUUAGAGCAGCUCAAAUCUCAUGGCUAGACAUGGCUUGUUAUAGGCCCUAGUUACAAGGGUCCUGUUAAAUAAUUUCAACAUUACUUUGAUUUUUGACUUAUGGAUACCUGGCCCAAUGUACUGAGCUUUAAAGACAAAUAAUCUUCUUGUUUCACUUGGGAACAAAAAGUCCUAGGUUUGAGUCUCAGGCUUAUCCAAAACAUAGGUCUUGGGAGAGGGUUCAUGUAUAUGUGGUUUUCUGGGUUGGGGCAGGGCUAAUGGAGUUUCUGCAUUAUAAAAGAAAUUAUUCUUGCUUCUAGAACUUAAUUUUUUGAGAUUGAGAACUUUGCUUUUGAGAUGACCAUAACUGGUUUCCAUUUUUGUGUAGUCCACAUUUGAUCUCAGAUUUGAUCCUUUCGAUAUUAUAAAAUCAAAUUCUUGUUGUUUCUUGAACUUAAUUUCUUGAUAUUGGGAUCUUUUGCUUUUGACACAAGCAUAACUUGUUUCAAAUUAGGAUCAUUUUUUGUGUAAGUCCACAUUUGAUCCUUUCUAAGCAACAUUGGUAAUGUCUUCUGAGCUACUACUUUCAGUUCAUUGAGGAUUUAUCUCCCCUUGAAAUUCACUCAAUAUUUUGAGUAGUUGAUCCUAAGGCAGUGAGCUCUGCUGGAACAUGAAACUGGAAAUGAUAAGCAGCUACUCCUAUCAGCCAUUUAAUGAUGUACUUGUGUUGGUUCUGACAAUGAAGUAGUAUCCAUAUGAUAGGCCUGUGGCUAUCAAAGAGAAAAUGGAUUUAAGUGUAUCUUUUGUUGAAACUCCUUAAUACAGUGCUGUGGCAAGUAAAAAGAGAAUAUGAGCAAACAUAUAAAGAAAAUUGCUUGAACAGUUUCUCUUAGCUGAAAUGCCUAUGGAUACUACACAUUCCCUCUUGAGAUACCGACUUCAAAGUCUCUUUCAACUUCUUUGUCUGAAUCAGCUGUUUUCAGUCUUGCCUGAAUUGCCUGCUUCUUUACAUUAGCAGUACCAAGGUUUUAAAAUGCAACCUUUUGGAUGAAUAGCACCUUAGAAGGGCUCCAAGUUUUAUCUUCCAUUUAUCCUAGCACCACACACAAGGACAAAGAAAGAAAAACUAGAAGUAAAUGAGUACAUACAGUCAUUGCAAGCUUGAUGGAUCUGUGGAAAAUUUACAAUGCUAGGCCUCCUGUCAAAGGGUUUACCCAAUGUAGAUGUCCGGCUUUUACUAGUGAGGGACCUUCAAACAGGAGUUGGGAGCAAUAUGAAUUCCAAUUGAGUGAUUUGAGAACUGUUUUAAAAAUUGUUGCUAAAGAGGUCCUUAUUCUCUCUCUGUUGGCAGUUCUUAGAAGCAGUCAGUAAGAUGUGAUUAUGUGAAUCACUUUUUUACAAUAGGAUGAGGCAAAUAUGAUCAUUUCUCCUGAUUCUGGUGUUGCUGGCAAUGGGGAAAAGUUUUAUAGACUCGGAAGACAUUUUACAUUGGUUGAAGCAGUUUCCUACAGUGUGAUCUGAAGUUAUGAUUAACUAGCAAGUUUCCUGGAAAGAACUAAAGUUUUUCUGGAUAACUCUUAGCAUUUGGGGAGGUGGGAGGAAGUUCUGGAGUCACAUGUAAGGAUGUACUUGCAAUUUUCAAGCUUGCAUGCAUGGUUUCUUGGUAGCUUCACUGGUUUCCAACUAGAAGGAACUUUUGGAGCAUUCAUAGAGGAAUUUAAUUGUAAUCAUAGUUGGAUUCACUUGAUGUAUCACUGCCUUUUCCCCUUCUGGAUUUAGUGAUGAAUUUCAAGUAGUGAAAUUUCCUGUUUAGUUAUUAAAUUAGAAAUUACCAAAAUAUUUAAGUGAAUGGUAGAAUAAUUGGAGGAUUCUGCUUGUGGAAGAAUGCUAUGGCAAUGUUAGGAUUCCAUGCUUGCCUACAGUUCCCUUAUUUGCAUUUCUGUUGGAGAUCCAAGAUACUCCUCUCAGGUUACUUGAGAGUUAACAGUAUGAGCAUACUAUCAUGGAGAAUCAUAGCCUUUGACUAAGCAAUUUCCAUUUCUUCACUAUCAUGUAAGCUGAAUCUAUUUGAUGAGUUGAUCUCUUUCCUCAAAAUUUUAAGAUCUCUGGAAACAUCUAUCUCUCUCCCUGAUGCAUAUAUAUCUGUAUUAAUUAAAUGGAAAGAGAACGUUCUUUUGUGUAUGUGUUUGUCUUUCAAAUGCAUCAUUGUGAUAUUUAUGGUUUACAAAAACUUCAACUUCAAAGCUGCACUCAUAAAAAACAACUCAUUAUACUGCAAGUUACAUAUGAAACAAAAUCUGUGUGAAAAUAAACUUCAAUGCAGUAUCCAAAAACCACCAUUACUUUACUUUCUAACUGAAUUUUCAUGUGUACUAACAGGCAUAUGCUAGAUGCAUUGCACAUCUUGAUACAAUGGGUCUUCCUUUGUACAUACAAAGACAUCCUUGGCAAUGUCAAGACUAAAAAAACAAAAUUUGGAAACUGUAAAUGAUUCAUAGAAUUCCUCAGUUCCAGCAUUGAUUGGGAACCUUGUUCCAAAUUUAUGUCUUAUUUCACUUCAAUGCUUCUUCUAGCUACUCCCCAUCAAUCUGAUGGUCAAUGUUCUCAUUUUAUGGAUUCAAAUUCUUAUUGGGUUGUGUAAUGUUGGCUCUGAUUAACCCUUUAUCUAAUUACUGGAGUAGGAUGGAUUGAAGUCAUCUCCAAAUCAUAGCACUCAGUCACCAGAAGUUACAUCCAAAGUUGCUACCAGUGGUGAUGAAGUUAAUGAUAAUGUGAAGAGUCUGACAGAGAAAUUAUCAGCUGCUCUUUUGAAUGUUGGUGCUAAAGAUGAUUUGGUUAAGCAGCAUGCCAAAGUUGCUGAAGAAGCUGUUGCAGGUAUAGUCGUAGUAAUGUUUUGAUACAAUUUUACAUGCAGAAUUUUCAUAUGGAAAUGGAUUGUUUGCUUGAUCAGUUGUCAGAAUGACAUUGUAAUUAUUACUUUGCUGUUCUUCCCUUCUGUAAUUACGUUUUUUUUGGUUAAAUUUUUUAUUAUUUAAAUGAUAGGCUGGGAAAAGGCUGAAAAUGAGGUGGUGGUUUUAAAGCAACAACUAGAGGCUGCAGUUCAGGAGAACUUAGUGCUAGAAGAUCGAGUGAGCCGUCUUGAUGGUGCCAUCAAGGAAUGUGUUAGGCAGCUAAGACAAGCAAGGGAGGAGCAGGAGGAAAAGAUCAGCGAAGCAGUGGUGAAGAAAACCCGUGAGUGGGAAUCCACCAAAUUUGAGCUUGAGAGCCAGCUUCUUGAGCUCCAAACACAAGUAGAUGCUGCUAAAGCUGAACCUCCUGUUCCUUUUGACCCAGAUCUGUGCCAUAUGCUUCAGGCUUUGGAGAAACAGAACUCAGCCCUCAAGUAUGAGCUCCUCUCUCAAUCUGAGGAGCUUCAGGCUUUGGAGAAAGAGAACUCAACCCUCAAGCUUGAGCUCCUUUCUCAAUCUGAGGAGUUAGAGAUUAGGACAAUUGAGAGAGACUUGAGUACCCAAGCAGCAGAAACAGCUAGCAAGCAACAUUUAGAAAGCAUAAAGAAGGUAGCAAAGCUCGAGGCUGAGUGCCGAAGGCUAAAGGCCAUGGCUCGUAAAUCAUCUUCAAUCCAUGAUCAUAGAUCUGUUGCUGCUUCUUCACUUCAUAUUGAAUCUCUCACUGAUAGCCAGUCUGACAAUGGAGAGCAGUUAAACAUGGUGGAUAUCAGUCUCCACCAGACUAGCAGCUUUGAUGUGAAUGAUUGUGAACCAAGUUGCUCAGACUCAUGGGCAUCUGCCCUAAUUGCUGAGCUCGACCAAUUCAAGAAUGAAAAGGUUGUUAGUAGAAAUCUUCCUGCAUCAUCCAUUGAAAUUGAUCUCAUGGAUGAUUUCCUUGAGAUGGAGCGACUUGCUGCCCUGCCCCAGGCCGAGCAUGGAAGCCGUAGCCUUGAAUCACAAGCUGUUACCAACCAGACCAGUAAUGAAGAUAGUUCAUUGAGAGCUGAGCUUGAAACCAUGACUCAUCGGAUGGCUGAAUUGGAAGAGAAGUUGGAGAAAAUGGAAGCAGAGAAAGCUGAAUUGGAGAUAGCUCUAACAGUAAGUCAAGAUUGUAUUGAAGCAUCCAAAAUUCAGUUGAGAGAGGCUGAGAUGAAGUUGGAGGAGAUGCAAAAGGAGCUCGAUUUUGCAAAUGAAUCAAAGCAAGCCCUUGAGUCUCAACUCAUUGCAAUGGAAGCAGAGGCUAGGACCAUGUCUGCAAGGGUUGAUUCCCUAGAAGCAGAGAUAAAAAAAGAGCAUGCUAUGUCAGCAGAAAUUGGAGUCAAAUGUCAAGAAUUGGAGGAUGAACUACUGAAAAAGAAACAAGAACUCAAGUUUCAGCAAGCUGCAAGCUCAAAUAGUGAACGAAAGGUGAAGCAGGUCAGUCAUUCUCUGAAUUGCUCAUCUUCUUUUCCAUGUCAAUCUAAAAGAGGCAGGAUAUAAACAUUCCCCUGGUAUAACAUAACAAUGCAGGAGGAGCUAGCCAUUGCAGCUGGAAAACUUGCAGAGUGCCAGAAGACAAUAGCAUCUCUGGGGAAGCAACUAAAAUCUCUGGCAACACUGGAAGACUUCCUGACCGAUGCUGGGAACCUAGCAGACUUCUCUGGAAAAUCAGUGAUUUCUACAGCAGCAGGUGGAGAAACAUGGCAGUUGCAUUCCAAUGACACAUUUUUGCCUAGAAGAAGUGCUGAUUCUUCCAACAUGAGUGCUGAGAUUUGUGGUCCUUCAAUCAAUGGUAACAAUGGGAAUUCAUUCUCAUCUUUGUCCCUCUCAGCUUCAUCCAUAAAUCAUCUCGGCUCCGAUAAAACUCUUCAAGGGUUUGGAAACCAGUUGCCUCCAACUAGGAGUAGGAGUGGGAUUCAGCUACAAAAUCAUUGAUGGUACAUGGAAAAUGGAAAAGAAAAAACCCAAAAAAAAGAAAAAGAAAAAAAAAAAAGAGGAUUUUGAUUUUGCAUUUGUAAAACAGAGAUUUAGUAUCUGUUGAAAUAGGAAAUUGGUGAUUGAGUCCGGUGUUUAAUGGGCAGUUGUGUUCAUAUGGAUGAUGGUGUCUUAGAAUUUUGAGAAAUUAGAGAAGGUUUCAAUCACAAAUUGCAUUUUUACUUUGUUUGUGGUUGGUGUUACUUAUUAAAUCUCAUGUGUUUUUUUUUUUUUUUAAAUGCAUUUUUUAUUAUUUAUUUCUAAAAUAAGAAAAUAACAUUGAAAUAGUAAUAUUUGUAAAAUUUUAAAAAUUAUUUACUAUUUUUUUAAAAAAAAAUUAUCAUCUCAUGUUUUAAAAUAGAUAAUUACUUGUGAUAAUUUAAAUACAUAUUUAAUUAAAUUUAUAAAAAAUAAAAAAUUACUUAUAAUACUUCUCAAAAAACACCUAAUAAAUGAUUUUUUUUUUCAAAAAAAUAGAUCUAAAAAAAAUACUUUUUCCAUUGAAAAAUAAUCAUUUUGAGAGGAUGAUGAAUAAUGACGUAAUGUUCAAAAAUAUUUAUGAUUGAAAUUGGGGUGCCAAGGGCCAGGUGGACUAGGUUGGGUUGGAGUGACUUAGUGAGAACCACCCAAAGCACACACUGAAACCUCACUCCCAAACACAAAGUACACACCGACGUGGGCACUUUAGUUACCCUUCACACCCUCUCUCAUCCUAUCCACAUCUCUCAGCUCUUCAUUAUACUUCCAUUCCCACCUCUCAAUUCUCAAAAUUUAGCUUGACGAACACAGAGCUAGAGCAAAGGUUACAUUCAUUUUCCCAAGAAAAAAAAAUUGUAUUUUAAACCUCAGGCGCCAUGGCUCAGACCAUGCUGAUCACUCCUAGCGUUUCCGGGCAUUCAGUGCUGGAUUUGAAGCGACAGCCUCUGCUUCAGAGACUCAGGCCCAAGCCAUUCUCCCACCUUCUCCUCCCUCCACUUCCCACCUCUUCCUCCACUUCAUCUCCUGCAUUUACAACUCUUGCUCUCUUCAAAUCAAAGACCAAAGCCGCUCCUUCAAAGAAGGUCCCAUCUCCAUUUCCUCAAUCAUUCUUUACUAUUAUUAUUAUGUCUCAAUCUCUGGGUUCAUUAUUAAUUUCUUGGUAUUUUCCCUGUAACAGGUUACGAAGCCGAAGCCACAGGUUGAAGAUGGAAUAUUUGGCACCUCUGGUGGCAUUGGCUUCACCAAAAAAAAUGAGCUGUUCGUGGGUCGUGUUGCCAUGCUCGGCUUUGCUGUGAGAAAAUUUUCCUUUUCCCAUCUAUUUUCAGCUUCUUAAUUCACUGCUUUUACAAGUAAUUUUGUGGUUAAUUAGCUUAGUAUUGAAAUCAGUAGAAUCUAAAUUGGAAGAAAUGAUAGACGUACUCCAGAUUUGAUUAUUUCACUAAACGACAUAGCUCCUUCUCGUAGCUUCUCUUGUAUGUACACGUGUCCGUGUAAAAGCCAUACAUAAAACAAUAAUCAUAGAAAGAAAUCAUAAAAAGUAAUUUGAAAAAUUCUAUUUUUUGUCC
rnacentral:lncRNA from 1 species